rnacentral:lncRNA from 1 species
AGCCAGUACUCUUAUUCACUGAGCUAUCUCUCCAGCCCCUCUCCUUUCUUUUUAGAUAUGGUCUCAUGUAACACAGGCUGAGGCUGGCCCUCUGAUCCUAUUGCCUCUACCUUCCAAAAGCUGGGAUUAAUGAGUGUCACACCUUGCCCAGUGUGUGUGUCCUCAGGCUUGUUCCCUCUCUAGAUGUACAAGCCAGGCAAAAGUUAUAUUGUGGAGCCACACACCAGCUCUAGAAUGGCUCCUUCUUCCCCUAUAGCCUCUUAUUCCCUUUCUUUCUUUUUCUUCUUUCUUUUCUUUUUUCCUCUCUCUCUCUCUCUCUCUCUCUCUCUCUCUCUCUCUCUCUCUGUCUGUCUCUCUCUCGACAAAGUCUCAGUUUGUAGUCCAGGCUGGCCCAGAACAUCCUAUGUAAUCUGAGAUAACCUAGAAUCUGCAAUCCUCCUCUUGUGUGUCACAAGUGCUUGGUUUACAGGUAUGGGGCACCAUGCCCAGCUAGAGUAUUCUUUUUAAGGGGUGAAACUGAUCACACCUAAAAUCCAUCUACAGUCUUCAUAUCAUUCACAAUAAAAAAAAAGUUCUUGCUACAGUCAAGAGACCCCUUCUCUCUGUCAAUAUCUAGUGCCUGUUUCCUCUCACCUGUCAGGAUGGAGCCACUGCCAAGCCCUGGUUUCAUUCUGGUAGAUUUCAAAGAGAAAGCCAUUAAGAUUUGACAAGGCAGCUAGGUGGUGGCAGCUCAUGCCUUUAAUUCCAGCACUCAGGAGGUAGAGGCAGGCAGAUCUUGGUGUUCAAACCAAGUCUACAGAGUAAGUUCUAGGACAGUCUGGGCUACACAGAGCAACCCUGUCUUGAAGAGCAAAAGCAAACAGAAAGAUUUGCCAAGGGCUUGGAGGUGAAUUGUGAGAGGAGCGAUGAAGUCAAGGAUGUCUGUGGUAGUGCUUAUUGUCUAGACCUCAGUAUCCUCUUGCUUCCAGAGCCACAUCAUGGCAAAGGUGACGGGGAGGCUCUGGUGACGCUGAACAGACCUGGCACUGCUGCUCUGAUCUUGCCACCCUCUGGCACUCUUGACACUCCCUGUUUCAAGUGAGGAAACAUGUCACAAAUGUGAAGUGAGUGACCCAGGCCACAUAGCUGGAAAGUCACCACUCCAGCCCCGAAGAAACAUAUGAGGCCACGGACUGCACCUUCAGCAGAGGCAUUACAGUGCUGACCCUAGAAUCUGACUGCCUGCGUGUAAUCCCGACUCUGCCAAUUACCAACAGCCUCUCUGUGCCCGUGUUUCCUCAUCAGAAAAAGGCAGUGAGUUGUGACAAUGCGUCCACCCUGGCUAGCAUCUCUGUGAAGACUGAAGGAGAGCGUGUGUAUGGUGGACUUGGCAUUGUGCUGCUGUUAUCACUACUGUUCUCUCUGCUCUAGGUCUGAGCUUCUCCCCUGACCAUGGCAGACCUGCCUGGGCUUGUUUCCCAAACUCACAUGGCAGCUUACAAAGUCCAUAACACCAGUUCCACCAUUUUCUUCUGAUCUCUAUGAGCACCAUACAUACUCACAGUGCAUUUCCAUACAUGCAGGUAAAAUUUUCAUACACAUAAAAUAAAAUAAAUUUUAAAAAUCAAGGGGUUGGGGUUGGAGAGAUGGCUCAGUGGAUGAAAGUAUUGGCUGCUCUUCCAGAGGACCUGGGUUUGAUUUCUACCUGGUAUCUCACAAUGGUCUUUAACUCUAGUUCUGCUACCUUCUGCUGGCCUCCACAGACACUGCUGGGAUGUGAUGCACAGACAUUCACAGAGGCCAAACAUCCAUGCACAUAACAAUAAGUGUGUUGAUGGACAUCUGCAGUCCCAGGUGUGUUGAUGGACAUCUUCAAUCCCAAGUGUGUUGAUGAACAUCUGCAGUCCCAGGUGUGUUGAUGGACAUCUGCGAUCCCAGGUGUACUGAUGGACAUCUGUAAUUCCAGGUGUACUGAUGGACAUCUGCAAUCCCAGGUGUAUUGAUGGACAUCUUCAACCCCUAGUGUGUUGAUGGACAUCUGCAGUCCCAGGUGUGUUGAUGGACAUCUGCAAUCCCAGGUGUCCUGAUGGACAUCUGCAAUCCCAGGUGUACUGAUGGACAUCUGUAAUUCCAGGUGUACUGAUGGACAUCUUCAAUCCCAGGUUUACUGAUGGACAUCUUCAAUCCCAGGUGUAUUGACAUCUGCAGUCCCAGGAGUACUGAUAGACAUCUGCAAUCCCAGGUGUACUGAUGGACAUCUGCAGUCCCAGGUGUGCUGAUGGACAUCUGCAGUCCCAGGUGUACUGAUGGACAUCUUCAAUCCUAAGUGUAUUGAUGGACAUCUUCAAUCCCAGGUGUGUUGAUGGACAUCUUUAAUUCCAGGUGUACUGAUGGACAUCUGCAGUCCCAGGAGUAUUGAUGGACAGCAAUCCCAAUGCUGGCAAGACAGACAGGCACAGCUCUGAAGCUCACUGACCAAUAAAUAUAACUGAACCCAUGUCAAUGAGAGACCCUGUCUCAAAAGGUAAUGGAGGGGCCAGAAAGAUGAUUCACCAGUUAAGAGCAUUUGUUACUCUUCCAGAGGACUGGAGUUUGGAUCCCAUCACUCAUACAGAGGCUUACAACCAUUCAUAACUCCAGUUCCAUGGGAUCCAGUGCCCUCUUCUGACCUCCAAGGACACAAAGCAUGCAUGUGGUACACAUACAUACAUGCAAGAAAACCACAGACACAUGUAAAAUAAAAACAAAUAAGUCUUUAAAAUUAAAUAAAUUAGCAGGGGGCUGGGGCUAGAGAGAUGGCUCAGCACUUAAGAGCACUGACUGCUCUUCCAGAGGACCCUGGUUCAAUUCCCAAUGUCCACAUGGCAGCCCACAACUGUCUAUAAUUCCAAGAUCCAACACCCUCACACAGACAUAUAGGCAGGCAAAACACAAAUGCACAUAAAAUAAAAAUAAAUAAUUUUUUAAAAAACUAAAUGAAAUGGAGAGUGACUAAGGAGGAUACUUGGCUUUGACCUUUGACCUCUACAUUCAUGUGUUCAAUGUGUAUCUGAAUUUGUACAUGAAUUCACCCAAGAACACAUGUAUGUGCACACACCACACACAAAGAAAUAAAAUGUAUGUUUAUUAUUCUCCUAGUAAUGUAAAUGCAUUGAUAAAAAUGAGAAGUCCCAGGACAGCACAAAAGGAGACUGUCCCCUGCUGUACCCCACCUCAGACAUAAUGUCUGUUGACAUUUUCCAUGUCAUAGUUAAGCACAAGAUACAGGGAGCUGUAUUCAAAGAAGGGAGAAGGGGGACAUGGACUUUGGUGUUUGUGCCCUUUUCCACUGUUUGUAUUGUAUCAGAAAAAAAAUGUCAAAUAAACCGCAGGGAAAAUAUCAACUAUUGCAACACUCCUCUAUGUGUAGAGAUGUAUCACACAUUCUUUUUCUACAAAAAUAGGGGUCGCUUUGUGCCUAUGAUUUUGAAACCUGAAUUUAUCAUGUCAAGAUAACAAGAUGUCUUGAAUGCUUUUCCAGGAUGCUGCAACUUAUCUUUUUUUUUUUUUAAAGCACAUUGCAAACUAUUCAAACUGAAAAGGCAAAAUCAGACAAGCAAGUUUCCUACUUGAGCCUCCCUGUCCUUUGUUCCUCUCUACAGAGGCAGCCGGGAGGGUCCAUUUCUUUCUAUUUCUUUCCCUCCUUCUAGACCAAGCUGGCCUUGAACACACAAAUAACUGAAG